AUCCAUCUAAAGAGUCCCAAAUAGGACGAAACGCGCAUCAAACUGGAU
rnacentral:hammerhead_ribozyme from 1 species